UUGGAGGGCAAGUCUGGUGCCAGCAGCCGCGGUAAUUCCAGCUCCAAUAGCGUAUAUUAAAGUUGUUGCAGUUAAAAAGCUCGUAGUUGAAUUUCGGGACUAGUACGUCGGUCGUGCCUUAGGUACGUACUGGUGUUACUGGUUCCUACCUUCUGACGAGCCAUCAUGUCAUUAAUUUGGUGUGGUGGGGAAUCAGGACUGUUACUUUGAAAAAAUUGAGUGUUUAAAGCAGGCUCGCGCUUGAAUACAUUAGCAUGGAAUAAUGAAAUAGG
rnacentral:rRNA from 1 species